AGCGAACGUUUGCGGCGGGCUUAACACAUGCAAGUCGAACGGGCUGUUCCUUCGGGGGCAGUCAGUGGCGCACGGGUGCGUAACACGUAGGUAAUCAACCCUCUGGUUGGGGAUAACACUUCGAAAGGAGUGCUAAUACCCGGUAUGGCGCAGCGGUCUUCGGAUCGCGGCGAGAAAGACCGCAAGGUUGCCAGAGGACGAGCCUGCGGCCCAUCAGCUAGUUGGCGAGGUAACGGCUCACCAAGGCGAAGACGGGUAGCUGGUCUGAGAGGAUGAUCAGCCACACUGGAACUGAGACACGGUCCAGACUCCUACGGGA
rnacentral:rRNA from 1 species